rnacentral:rRNA from 1 species
CCUACGGGAGGCAGCAGUGAGGAAUAUUGGUCAAUGGACGAGAGUCUGAACCAGCCAAGUAGCGUGAAGGAUGACUGCCCUAUGGGUUGUAAACUUCUUUUAUAUGGGAAUAAAACGUUCCACGUGUGGGAUUUUGUAUGUACCAUAUGAAUAAGGAUCGGCUAACUCCGUGCCAGCAGCCGCGGUAAUACGGAGGAUCCGAGCGUUAUCCGGAUUUAUUGGGUUUAAAGGGAGCGUAGGUGGAUUGUUAAGUCAGUUGUGAAAGUUUGCGGCUCAACCGUAAAAUUGCAGUUGAAACUGGCAGUCUUGAGUACAGGAGAGGUAGGCGGAAUUCGUGGUGUAGCGGUGAAAUGCUUAGAUAUCACGAAGAACUCCGAUUGCGAAGGCAGUUCACUGGACUGCAACUGACACUGAGGCUCGAAAGUGUGGGUAUCAAACAGGAUUAGAUACCCGGGUAGUC